rnacentral:rRNA from 1 species
UACGGGGGGGGCAAGCGUUGUUCGGAAUUACUGGGCGUAAAGAGCUCGUAGGCGGUUUGUCGCGUCUGCCGUGAAAGUCCGGGGCUCAACUCCGGAUCUGCGGUGGGUACGGGCAGACUAGAGUGAUGUAGGGGAGACUGGAAUUCCUGGUGUAGCGGUGAAAUGCGCAGAUAUCAGGAGGAACACCGAUGGCGAAGGCAGGUCUCUGGGCAUUAACUGACGCUGAGGAGCGAAAGCAUGGGGAGCGAACAGG